rnacentral:rRNA from 1 species
UACGAAGGGUGCAAGCGUUACUCGGAAUUACUGGGCGUAAAGCGUGCGUAGGUGGUUCGUUAAGUCUGAUGUGAAAGCCCUGGGCUCAACCUGGGAAUUGCAUUGGAUACUGGCGGGCUAGAGUACGGUAGAGGGUGGCGGAAUUCCUGGUGUAGCAGUGAAAUGCGUAGAGAUGUGGAGGAACACCGAUGGCGAAGGCAGCCCCCUGGGUUAACACUGACGCUCAGGCACGAAAGCGUGGGGAGCAAACAGG